AUGGGAUAUUAGUAAACCAAUUACACAGCUUUGUCAAAGCUGAGUCAUAGGUGAAACUCCUAUAUACCCCC
rnacentral:tRNA from 1 species